rnacentral:rRNA from 1 species
GACAGAGGAUGCAAGCGUUAUCCGGAAUGAUUGGGCGUAAAGCGUCUGUAGGUGGCUUUUUAAGUGCGCCGUGAAAUCCCAGGGCUCAACCCUGGACAGGCGGUGGAAACUGCCAAGCUGGAGUACGGUAGGGAGGGAGAGAAUUUCAGGUGGAGCGGUGAAAUGCGUAGAGAUGGGGAAGAACACCAACGGCGAAAGCACUCUCUUGGGCAGGCACUGACACUGA